rnacentral:rRNA from 1 species
AGAGUUUGAUCCUGGCUCAGGAUGAACGCUGGCGGCGUGCCUAACACAUGCAAGUCGAGCGAUUUACUUCGGUAAAGAGCGGCGGACGGGUGAGUAACGCGUGGGUAACCUGCCCUGUACACACGGAUAACAUACCGAAAGGUAUGCUAAUACGAGAUAAUAUGCUUUUAUCGCAUGGUAGAAGUAUCAAAGCUUUUGCGGUACAGGAUGGACCCGCGUCUGAUUAGCUAGUUGGUAAGGUAACGGCUUACCAAGGCGACGAUCAGUAGCCGACCUGAGAGGGUGAUCGGCCACAUUGGAACUAAGACACGGUCCAAACUCCUACGGGAGGCAGCAGUGGGGAAUAUUGCACAAUGGGCGAAAGCCUGAUGCAGCAACGCCGCGUGAGCGAUGAAGGCCUUCGGGUCGUAAAGCUCUGUCCUCAAGGAAGAUAAUGACGGUACUUGAGGAGGAAGCCCAGGCUAGCUACGUGCCAGCAGCCGCGGUAAUACGUAGGGGGCUAGCGUUAUCCGGAAUUACUGGGCGUAAAGGGUGCGUAGGUGGUUUCUUAAGUCAGAGGUGAAAGGCUACGGCUCAACCGUAGUAAGCCUUUGAAACUGGGAAACUUGAGUGCAGGAGAGGAGAGUGGAAUUCCUAGCGUAGCGGUGAAAUGCGUAGAUAUUAGGAGGAACACCAGUUGCGAAGGCGGCUCUCUGGACUGUAACUGACACUGAGGCACGAAAGCGUGGGGAGCAAACAGGAUUAGAUACCCUGGUAGUCCACGCCGUAAACGAUGAGUACUAGCUGUCGGAGGUUACCCCCUUCGGUGGCGCAGCUAACGCAUUAAGUACUCCGCCUGGGAAGUACGCUCGCAAGAGUGAAACUCAAAUGAAUUGACGG